rnacentral:rRNA from 1 species
UACGUAGGGUCCAAGCGUUAAUCGGAAUUACUGGGCGUAAAGGGCGCGUAGGCGGUUUGUUAAGUCGGCUGUGAAAGCCCGGGGCUCAACCCCGGAGGGUCAGCCGAUACUGGCAGACUAGAGUACGGAAGAGGUAGCUGGAAUUCCCGGUGUAGCGGUGAAAUGCGUAGAUAUCGAGAGGAACACCUGCGGCGAAGGCGGGUUGCUGGGCUGACACUGACGCUGAAGCGCGAAAGCUAGGGGAGCGAACGGG